CUGGUAACGCCCGAUCUCGUCUGAUCUCGGAAGGAGCAG
rnacentral:rRNA from 1 species